rnacentral:tRNA from 1 species
GCCUGGCUGGCUCAGUUAGAAGAGCAUGUGAUUCUAGAUCUCAGGGUCGUGAGUUCGAGUCGCAUGUUGGGCA